GACGAACGCUGGCGGCGCGCUUAACACAUGCAAGUCGAACGGAAAGGCCUGCUUUCCCUUGUGGAUUGCGGGUACUCGAGUGGCGAACGGGUGAGUAACACGUGAGUGAUCUGCCCCCAACUUGGGUAUAAGCCUGGGAAACUGGGUCUAAUUCCCGAUAGGACUGCAGGGUGGUGCCUGCGGUGGAAAACGAUUUUCUAGUGGUUGGGGAUGAGCUCGCGGCCUAUCAGCUUGUGGGUGGGGUAAUGGCCUACCAAGGCGGCGACGGGUAGCCGGCCUGAGAGGGUGGACGGCGACAUUGGGACUGAGAUACGGCCCAGACGCCUACGGGAGGCAGCAGUGGGGAAUAAUGCACAAUAGGCGGAAGCCUGAUGCAGCGACGCCGCGUGGAGGAUGACGGCCUUCGGGUUGUAAACUCCUUUCGACCGCGAGGAAGCCACCUGGGUGGUAGGGUGGCGACGGUAGUGGUAGAAGAAGCACCGGCUAACUACGUG
rnacentral:rRNA from 1 species